UCUUUCUUGCUGCCACAUUGCCCCUCUCUCUCCCAAUAAACCUCACGUGGAACUGUUUGGCCUCAUUUGGUCCUUCUGCUGCCAUGUGACGUUCGAGAUCAUAACACUAAUGGUUCUCCAACUACCAGAAAUGUUCUUCCGUGCUCCACCCCAACACCCUGACAGUCCCCAGUAAGCAGCAGCUUUCUGUCAGAGAACAAGACAUUGGCCACUUACUCCUUGUGAUGGUACUGAACAAGCAGAGAAGGCAGAAUCCCCCCCACUAUGGAUUUCUCACUCCUGUGAACAAAUGUCCACCCCCUUCCCAACUGCAAGAGGGAUGUCGGAUUUAAUCCUCAGGCUUGUUCCAUCUUGGUUUCAAGACAGCUGUAGCAACUCCAGCCAUUGCAUCUUUCCCAGCUGGGUCAGAUUUGAUCAUUUAUAGAUUCUGAAACAAUUAGCACAGACUUGGUACUUAGAACAACAGGGACUUAUUCUCCAAGAGGCUGAAGUCAGCGUCACUGAGGUGAAAUAAAGGUGUUGAUGGGGUUCUACACCCACUGAAGGUUCUGCAGAAAGGCUGGGUCCUUGUCUCCCAAUGUUUGAUGGUUCCAGCAUCCUGGAUCUGUAGCUGCAUCUUUCUAAUCACCAUCUGUCUUUCCACUGAGGGUCUAUGAUCUUGUUUAGACCAUGAGUUCUCCUCUUCGUUAGAGACACUAACUUGAGCUUGCUUUAGUGCCUACCUGGGCUCUGUAAGAGACUGUCCCAACUCAAGUCCUCAAAUUUAAUCAUAUCUGCACAGAUCUCUUCCCAACCCCUAGGGCUGUUAUUUACCCGAGUAAGAUGCCAUAUACUAGUAUGUGCACAUCUUCUCAUCUAUAAGUGGGGCGGUGGGCUGUGAGAGGAAUCCUGGUAAGGUGGAGCUAAGGCUUGAAGUCCGGGGGACCCUGAAGGGACGGUAGGAGCUUUGCCUGCUCCCAGAACCAGGCCCCUGUCAGGUAGCCACAGCUCCCUACAGCCCCCUAUAGAGAGGUUUGUGGCCAUCAGUCACAUAGGGGCAGCACUCCAAGC